GUAUACAAUCUGCCUCAUACAGGGGGAUAGCCUUUAGAAAUGAAGAUUAAUAUCCCAUAGUUUGUUAGAGUGGCAUCAUUCCAACAAUAAAGGUUUACGGUAUGAGAUGAGUAUGCGUUCUAUUAGCUAGUUGGUGUGGUAACGGCAUACCAAGGCGACGAUAGAUAGGGGCCCUGAGAGGGGGAUCCCCCACACUGGUACUGAGACACGGACCAGACUCCUACGGGAGGCAGCAGUGAGGAAUAUUGGACAAUGGAGGGAACUCUGAUCCAGCCAUGCCGCGUGCAGGAAGACUGCCCUAUGGGUUGUAAACUGCUUUUAUACAGGAAGAAACCCUCCCUCGCGCAGGGAGCUUGACGGUACUGUAAGAAUAAGGAUCGGCUAACUCCGUGCCAGCAGCCGCGGUAAUACGGAGGAUCCAAGCGCUAUCCGGAAUCAUUGGGUUUAAAGGGUCCGUAGUUGAUAAUUAAGUCAGAGGUGAAAUCCUGCAGCUUAACUGUAGAAUUGCCUUUGAUACUGGUUGUCUUG
rnacentral:rRNA from 1 species